UAUUCUGCAAUGAAUUUGAUUAACAACUGGUUUGAGAAUUUAGGCAGUGUGAACAAGGCUUAGGUGUACGUCACUUACGCUACUGGCGGAGGAGGGGGAAGUACAUAAAUGUGUGGAAUGAAUCUUUUGUUGUGUCCACAUUACUAGACAAAGGUAAGAACCUCAAAGAAACAUGCACAUGACGACUUGUUCGUGUCCACACGUUAGCACUGUAUUUGCGUCCCACAUGGCACCCUAUUCCCUUUAUAGUCCACUACUUUUGACCAGGGCCCUAUACAAAUGGCCUAUACAGGAAAUAGGGUGCCGUUGGGGACGUAACCUAUGAGUGACUGAACCAAUGAGACUGGACAGAUCCUGACCAGAUAAGCUGAUUAGUAAAACUGUCAGUAAUGAUGGAUGUUUUCUGACCAACACUUUAAACCCGCAGAGGCUGUCAUACCUAUCAUUUUACAUCCCCCAAACACCUGGUCAGGCAGAGGCUCUAAUACUGGGCCUCCGCACUAGGCCUAGCUUCAUAGUGAACAGGAUGGAGACGACAAAGGAAAGAGUGGAGAGAUGGGACGAUUCUCCAUACCUGCUGGCUGCUGCAACCAGACCAUACCUCACCAGUCAACUCCAUAUUGAAUCAAUACAAUGGACUCUGUCAUCAACGUAGUUGUCUCCCAGUUCAAGACCUUUGCUGGGAAUGAUGGAUCCUCAAAYACCCUGAACAAAGAGUUCAGCAGCCUGGUGGUCUCUCAACUACCUGCUUUUGUCAAGAAUACCAGCGAUGCAGGCGCGAUCGAGCAACCUGGGUUCGUUGGAUGAAAACAACGACAGGGACUGACAGUUCUGGCAGCUGAUUGGAAAACUUGCCAACAAGCAAGGGUGCUUUUAGCCAAUAAAAAAKAUGUGUGGGAUUCCGUUGGAUGUGUAUCA